UACGGAGGGUGCGAGCGUUGUCCGGAAUCAUUGGGCGUAAAGGGCGCGUAGGUGGCCCCUCAAGCGUGCGGUGAAAGUCAGGGGCUCAACCCCUGAUCGGCCGUGCGAACUGGGGAGCUUGAGCACUGUAGAGGCAGGCGGAAUUCCGGGUGUAGCGGUGGAAUGCGUAGAGAUCCGGAAGAACACCGGUGGCGAAGGCGGUCCGCUGGGGUGUUGCUGACGCUGAGGCGCGACAGCGUGGGGAGCAAACAGG
rnacentral:rRNA from 1 species